GAUGAACGCUGGCGGCGUGCUUAACACAUGCAAGUCGAACGGGGUAAUCCUUCGGGGUUACUUAGUGGCGAACGGGUGAGUAACGCGUGAAGAACCUGCCUUUCAGUGGGGGACAACAGUUGGAAACGACUGCUAAUACCGCAUAAUGUUAUUUGAGGGCAUCCUCGGAUAACCAAAGCUUUAUGUGCUGAAAGAUGGUCUCGCGUCUGAUUAGAUAGUUGGUGAGGUAACGGCUCACCAAGUCGACGAUCAGUAGCCGGUCUGAGAGGAUGAACGGCCACAUUGGGACUGAGAUACGGCCCAGACUCCUACGGGAGGCAGCAGUGGGGAAUAUUGGGCAAUGGGGGAAACCCUGACCCAGCAACGCCGCGUGAAGGAAGAAGGCCUCGGUUGU
rnacentral:rRNA from 1 species